AAUAAACUUGGAACUAUAUUUUGCUGUGUGAAUGUGUUUGUAUAUCAAGCCGUGAGUUGAGCUUCAAAAAUUUCUGUCAGGUAUGAAUGAGAUUGGAGGAGGUGGAUGCCUGGAUGCUGAUGUGAGCUGGGCGGGCAUCGUGACGUCACUCCACCCUUCUGUCAUCGCCCGAAGCCUCCAAGUAGGGCAUGACAGGUUGAACGAGUAGUUGAUAAGGUGGUCCAGCCUUCAGACCCCCCCCCCCACCAUCUCACCACUGAGGGACAAAGCUCCAGACUAGUUCCAAUCAGUGAGCAGAGUGAGAGGAGAGGAGAAGAGCACAGCGAGCGAAGUGAGUUCUGAGCGGUUGCAUGGAGGAGGAUUGUCAUUUGGUUGGUGUUGCUAGAGUGAGAGAUGAGAUGGAGCGGACGCUGCAUUAUCAGGACAUGGAGGAGAGAGAGAGAGACAGACAACGCCAAAGGAUGCCUGCUCAAACGGAACAGUGGGAA